rnacentral:lncRNA from 1 species
UUCUUCUUAACUAAUAGCACCGGAGCACCCCAUGGUGAAACACUGGGUCGAAUGAAACCCUUAUCUAAUAGUUCUUGUAGUUGCUUUUUCAAUUCCUCUAGCUCGAGUGGUGCCAUUCUGUAAGGAGGCUUAGAUAUUGGGGUUGUCCCAGGGACCAAAUCAAUAGUAAAUUCACCCUCUCUAUCUGGAGAUAAACCAGGCAAGU